CCUACGGGAGGCAGCAGUGGGGAAUCUUGCGCAAUGGGCGAAAGCCUGACGCAGCCAUGCCGCGUGAAUGAUGAAGGUCUUAGGAUUGUAAAAAUUCUUUUCACCGGGGACGAUAAUGACGGUACCCGGAGAAGAAGCCCCGGCUAACUUCGUGCCAGCAGCCGCGGUAAUACGAAGGGGGGCUAGCGUUGCUCGGAAUUACUGGGCGUAAAGGGAGCGUAGGCGGAUAGUUUAGUCAGAGGUGAAAGCCCAGGGCUCAACCUUGGAAUUGCCUUUGAUACUGGCUAUCUUGAGUAUGGGAGAGGUUAGCGGAACUCCGAGUGUAGAGGUGAAAUUCGUAGAUAUUCGGAAGAACACCAGUGGCGAAGGCGGCUAACUGGCCCAUUACUGACGCUGAGGCUCGAAAGCGUGGGGAGCAAACAGGAUUAGAUACCCUGGUAGUCCACGCCGUAAACGAUGAGUGCUAGUUGUCGGCAUGCAUGCAUGUCGGUGACGCGAGCUACGACAUAAGUACACUCCGCCGUCGGGGAGGUACGGUCGGCGAAGAAGUUAAAACGUUAAAGGUAAAGUUAGUUACGGCGUGAGACGUGCCGACGGACGACGACGAGGGGAGGUUAGG
rnacentral:rRNA from 1 species